rnacentral:tRNA from 2 species
GGAGAGGUGGCCGAGCGGUCAAUGGCAGCAGACUGUAAAUCUGCCGGGGCAACCCUACGUUGGUUCAAAUCCAACCCUCUCCACCA